rnacentral:rRNA from 1 species
GUGCCAGCCGCCGCGGUAAUACGGAGGGUGCAAGCGUUAUCCGGAUUCACUGGGUUUAAAGGGUGCGUAGGUGGGUUGGUAAGUCCGUGGUGAAAUCUCCGAGCUUAACUCGGAAACUGCCGUGGAUACUAUCAAUCUUGAAUAUCGUGGAGGUAAGCGGAAUAUGUCAUGUAGCGGUGAAAUGCUUAGAUAUGACAUAGAACACCGAUAGCGGAGGCAGCUUGCUACACGAUCAUUGACACUGAGGCACGAAAGCGUGGGGAGCAAACAGGAUUAGAAACCCGUGUAGUCC